UUAACCCUGAACUCUGAGUUUAACCCUGAACUCUGAGUUGAUCUACUCUGAGAUAGAAAACUCUGAGUUUUCGGUUUCACAACGGCUGAUUUGAGUUGGUUAAAUCAACUCAGAGUAGUUUCACCCGGAGUUAAGCGCGUGCACCACAACUCUGAAAAGCCAGUAUCAAUGGAGCGUCGAUUCGACGAGUCACCAUGGCAACGGGGAAGCGGAGGACUACACCGCUUGAACUGGAAAUCUUAAUGCGCUUAUAUAGCGAGUUUGAACACGUUUUUAGAAAGAAGUGCAACACCUGCAGCUGCAACAGAGAGGGAGACGCCGUGGGAGAACAUUGCUGCCCGGGUCAAUGUGUAAGUUUAAAUCACAAUAAUAUUACAGGGGAAGACUAUUAAGUUAUUUCAUUUAGGUGCAAUCCUGCAGGGGUGAAGCGCACGUGGCAGCAGCUGAAGAUGAAAUAUAAAAACAUUGUUCAAACAGGUAAGAAGUCGGCAUAAUCUCAUGGAGCUACCUCAUUUUGAUCAUGUUUUACAUUGUAAAGUAGCCUAAAUAUUAGGUGGUUGUUUGUCUGUGUAGUGGUUUUACCCCGCACAUAGCCUAAAUGUCUGCAUCCAUAUCAUGUUCUGUUAAAUAAUUAAGCCUAUUUAAACUAACACAGACUUCUACUCAGCCAACAGAAAGAAAGCAGAUGCCUGUAAAAAGGGAGGUGGCCCAGCAGCACCACCUCUAACGGAGGCAGAGGAGCUGGUCCUAAGCCAGAAUUUGGGAAGGCCAGUGGCUGAGGGAAUCCCUGGAGGGAGCUCAUCCUCUGAGACCACAUCCCAAGACACAAGUAUUCUGAUGGUACUAUCUGCCUGGUGGAGCCCCUUCACGCCACAACAGACCUUGUAACUGAUGAAGAGGAUGAAACUGUGUCUGCUGCCUUUACAGAGGGGGAUCCAGAAAGGCAUCUAGAGAGCAUGGCUGGACAGCAGCAGGAUGGUCCCUCAACUUCCACUGCACAGAUUGACACAGUGAGAUGGAUGUUCAGUAAACACCAGAGGUUCAUUCUGUGGAAUUCAUGUGCAACUGUAUAAUUUAAUGUCCUUUAUGUAUUCCCAGUUACCAGUAAAACAAAUAUACAAAAUCCACUUGCUGAGAAAAAUACAAAAAACAGAUAAAGAAAUGCAGUACUUGGACCGCCAGAUUAAGAAGGCAGAUCUGGAAAUUGAAAUACUGGAGCACAAGUUAGAGGUGGGUGCAGGUCACAGGUGAAUUAUGUUAACUACUGGAACAUGAACUAAACUAGCUCUUUUAUUUGUAGGAAAUAAAGAA